AGGAUAAACGCUGGCGGCGUGCAUGAGACAUGCAAGUCGAACGAAGGACUCGGGCUUGCUCGGGUCCUGAGUGGCGGACGGCUGAGUAACGCGUAGGUGACCUGCCCCGAAGUGGGGAAUAACUGCCCGAAAGGGUGGCUAAUACCGCAUGUGGUCGCACGUUCAUUCGUGCGAGUAAAGCCGCAAGGCGCUUCGGGAGGGCCUGCGUCCGAUUAGCUCGUUGGUGGGGUAACGGCUCACCAAGGCGACGAUCGGUAGGUGGUCUGAGAGGACGAUCACCCAGACUGGGACUGAGACACGGCCCAGACCUCCGUACGGGAGGCCAGCAGUCGGAAUUUG
rnacentral:rRNA from 1 species